rnacentral:misc_RNA from 1 species
UGCACAUAAGGCUUAUAAAGUAAUUAAAGGAACCAGUAGGAUCACUCUUGUAAAGAGAGAUUAAUUAUUUAGGUCAUGAUAUUUUACAUAUAUAUAUAAACACACAUACUUUAUUAAUAAAGAUUGUGUUGCUUCCUUUCAUAAUUAAGCUUCUUCAUCCUACUUCUUGGCCUCUUUCUUCUCAUAUUUCUCAUCGACGGCAACUCAGCACCUCCCUCUUCUAUCUUGUGACUAUAAGCAUGUUCUGAGUCUUUCUUUACCUCGUGUUUCUCAUACUGAAAUUAUUAUACCACAUUUUUCAAAACAAAAAAAAUAUGUUAAUAAGUAUUCAUUAAAAAAUAUAUUAAAUUAUAAAUACGUUAAAUAUUUGGUAAUUAAUUUCACUUUACGCAUGAAAAAUUAGUGAGAGAGCAUCACCGAGGCAUAAGCGCCAGUAGCCCCUAGUUCGGGGUACUUCUCUUCAUCAAAGAACUCAGAGACCUUAGUGUAGACAGCAAUCUCAACGGGUUUUCCCUCUUCCUUGUGGUGGUGUGGGCGGUCGGGGUACUUCUCUUCAUUAGACAUGGUGGGGUUUCAAGAAAUUAGUACAAGAAAAGAGACAAGGGAACUAGCUAUAGGAAUUGG